rnacentral:rRNA from 1 species
GACGAACGCUGGCGGCGUGCUUAACACAUGCAAGUCAAGGGGGCCCAGCAAUGGGCAACCGGCGAACGGGUGCGUAACACGUGAGCAACCUACCGAACUGUGGGGGAUAGCCGGCCUAAC